ensembl:lncRNA
GUUCUAUUUCUUAUAAUUAUUAUUUAUUUCCGUACAAAUACACCAGGCGCCGUUAGACGUGGGUUCAUAAGGGCUUUAAGUGCCUUCCAUUGACAUGAGGGACAUGAGUGUCAAUCAGCGGAAGCUUCCACAGACUUUAUGAUUGCCGGACAGAUUCUAUGACCGCAGUUUGCAUCAGAGCCUCAUCCAGCAAAUGACAAGUGCCUCAGCAAUCAGCCGCUCGCCCCCUGGGAACCAAACAAAAGGAAAGAAGACGACGUGAUUGCGCCGUUUUUGAAACACGGAGGACACACCGCCGUGGUGGACUCCCAGCUGGGACGGAAAGCACCAACAUGGCGGCACAGACGGGAAAUCUCCUGGGGUGACGUCACCGCUCGGUCUCUCGUAGUGACGCGCCCUCGCCGCCUCUCGGGAAGACACGGCCCCCUCGCGCGAAAUGAUCCCGUCCCUCGGGGGAAUGAUCGACGUGCACUAUUAAUGAGGGAAUCGACCCGACUCGGCCACUUUUACCCUGAAUCGGGUUAGGAGUCUUUGUUGGGCAGGAAAAGAAAGACCAGGACCCAAGAUGAGGAGCAGAGACGGGCGGCCUCAUUAUCGCCCCGAGCAAAAGUUACGGCAAUAAAAGUCACGUGACCCGUUUGGGCUCACACGGCGCCUAUUUCCCAGUGUGUGGAGACUCUUUGAUUCCGCUCACUUUCACGCCGUAAUGAGCCGCCGGGUGUCUGCGCUCGGCGGCUCCUCCUCCCCGGCGUGCUGUUGACUGCCGGUCCCCGUGACCUCAUUGGGAGGAUCCUUCGCCGGGUUCUGCCCGGCGAAUCGCCGGAGCUCUCGUGAUCCGCCGCGCCGGCGUGCUAAUGAGGUCUCUCUGGCUCGUUGGAAAUGAACCAUUAGCGUUAAUCCGGC